UACGUAGGGACCAAGCGUUGUUCGGAUUUACUGGGCGUAAAGGGCGCGUAGGCGGCUUGACAAGUCACUUGUGAAAUCCCCCGGCUCAACUGGGGAACUGCACAGGAAACUGCGAGACUUGAGUUCGGGAGAGGGAAGCGGAAUUCCGGGUGUAGCGGUGAAAUGCGUAGAUAUCCGGAGGAACACCGGUGGCGAAGGCGGCUUCCUGGACCGACACUGACGCUGAGGCGCGAAAGCUAGGGGAGCAAACGGG
rnacentral:rRNA from 1 species